GCUUUUUGUGUGUCGGUCCUCGCGGGGAGAAGGAUUUCUACAUCAAGGAUACACAAGUCUCUAAAAAGAAAGGAUGGAGAGCAUGAAGAGAAAGCAGGAGAAAAAUGAGGAAAAAGGAAUGUUCUGAUUAUUCCCAGUCACACUAAGGUUUUUCAGUGCUGCUCCUCUCCUUUUUCCAAGGCCAUCCGGCUUUUCUCUACAUACUUGAUGAG